AUUUAAUGGCCGCGGUAUUUUGACCGUGCAAAGGUAGCAUAAUCAUUAGUUCAUUAAUUGUGGACUUGUAUGAAUGGUUGGACGAAAUAUUUACUGUCUCAUAAUUAUUAUUGUAAUUUAAAUUUUUAGUUAAAAUGCUUAAAUUUUUUUAUAGGACGAGAAGACCCUAUAGAUCUUUAUUUUUUUAAUUAUUAAUUGUUUUAGUUUAUUUAUUUUAAAUAUUUAUUAUAUAUUUUGUUGGGGUGACAUUUAAAUAUCUAUAACUUUAUUUAUAAUUAUUCAAUAAUUUUUGUUUUGUUGACCUUUUAUUAAUGUUAUAAGAUAUAGAUACCUUAGGGAUAACAGCGUAAUUUUUUUAUAGAGUUCAUAUCGACAAUUAAGAUUGCGACCUCGAUGUUGGAUUAAGAAAAUAAUUAGGUGUAGGUGCUUAAUAGUUAAGUCUGUUCGACUUUUAAAUUCUUACAUGAUCUGAGU
rnacentral:rRNA from 1 species